rnacentral:lncRNA from 1 species
GUGUGUUACAUUAUCAUUUUGUUUUUUUGUUGCACUUCAGUGUUUCUGUUGUAUCGUUGUUUUCUAUUAUAUUAGUUAAUGUUUUCUUCAGUUUUAGUUUGUAACCCGGAUUUGUUUUUCUCAAUCGAUUUAUGACUUUCGAACAGCGGUAUACUACUGUUUCUCUUAAUUAUAGUUCCCAUUACUAAGACCUUCGGCAUUCAAGAUUUAGAC